GAUGAACGCUAGCGGCAGGCCUAACACAUGCAAGUCGAGGGGUAGCAGGAUUACGCUUGCUUAAUUGCUGACUACAGGCCCACGGGUGCGUAACGCGUAUGCCACCUACCUUAUACUGGGGUAUAGCCGCGAGAAAUUCGGUUUAAUCCCCCAUAGUACUAAUGCAUCGCUACGUUUAUUUGUUAAAGUAUUGCGGUAUAAGAUGGGCAUGUGUCCUAUUAGCUAGAUGGUGAGGUAACGGCUCACCAUGGCUACGAUAGGUAGGGGGCCUGAGAGGGUGGUCCCCCACACUGGUAGUGGGACACGGACCAGACUCCUACGGGAGGCAGCAGUGAGGAAUAUUGGGCAAUGGGCGCAAGCCUGAACCAGCCAUGCCGCGUGCAGGAAGAAUGCCCUAUGGGUUGUAAACUGCUUUUAUUUGGGAAUAAACCUCUUUACGUGUAGAGAGCUGAAGGUACCAAAUGAAUAAGCACCGGCUAACUCCGUGCCAGCCGCCGCCGUAA
rnacentral:rRNA from 1 species